CAGAUAACACUGACAAUUUCAAUACAAUAGUGUAUAUAUUUAUGCAUAUAUAUAUAUAUAUAUAUAUAUAUAUAUAUAUAUAUAUAUAUGCAUAAAUAUAUACACUAUUGUAUUGAAAUUGUCAGUGUUAUCUG